UACGAAGGGGGCUAGCGUUGUUCGGAAUUACUGGGCGUAAAGCGCACGUAGGCGGAUAUUUAAGUCAGGGGUGAAAUCCCAGAGCUCAACUCUGGAACUGCCUUUGAUACUGGGUAUCUCGAGUAUGGAAGAGGUGAGUGGAAUUCCGAGUGUAGAGGUGAAAUUCGUAGAUAUUCGGAGGAACACCAGUGGCGAAGGCGGCUCACUGGUCCAUUACUGACGCUGAGGUGCGAAAGCGUGGGGAGCAAAACAGG
rnacentral:rRNA from 1 species